rnacentral:rRNA from 1 species
UGGGGAAUAUUGGACAAUGGGCGCAAGCCUGAUCCAGCCAUGCCGCGUGUGUGAUGAAGGCCUUAGGGUUGUAAAGCACUUUCGCCGAUGAAGAUAAUGACUGUAGUCGGAGAAGAAGCCCCGGCUAACUUCGUGCCAGCAGCCGCGGUAAUACGAAGGGGGCAAGCGUUGUUCGGAUUUACUGGGCGUAAAGCGUACGUAGGCGGAUGAUUAAGUCAGGGGUGAAAUCCCGGGCUCAACCUCGGAACUGCCUUUGAUACUGGUCGUCUUGAGUCCGGGAGAGGUGAGUGGAACUCCUAGUGUAGAGGUGAAAUUCGUAGAUAUUAGGAAGAACACCAGUGGCGAAGGCGGCUCACUGGCCCGGAACUGACGCUGAGGUACGAAAGCGUGGGGAGCAAACAGGAUUAGAUACCCUGGUAGUCCACGCCGUAAACGAUGGAUGCUAGCCGUCGGGGAGCUUGCUCUUCGGUGGCGCAGCU